CCUAGAUGUGAAUUUAUGUUCUUGUACAUUCAAGGCCUUUAAUGUUAAGUUUUUCACAUGCAUUUAGGUCACAACACAAUACUUGUGACUGUGAGACAUGUUCCACGAUGACUUUGGACAAGUAUACAAAAAUACCCAAGGUGUUGGAUUCUAUGACCAAUGUACUUGUUCUUUUUUUGCAACAUCCCUUUUAGACUGUUUCUUCUCUUUUGUCCCUGCCUCUGGAUUUAUUUAAUACUCCAGUUUUCUCUUUCUACUGUAUAUUUGAGUCAUUUCUGGAUCUGAUCCAAAUGCUGCUGAAGUUCACAGCACUGGCUUCAAGAGACUCCUAGGAUCAGGUCCUUAAUAGGCAUUUAAUAAUGGCGUUGAAGAAAUUGCUCUGGGGCUUGAAGUCCAUUAGACAUUCAUAAAACAGGACUGAAGGGUGAUGGCUCACUGCUGGAAGCAUUUCUCUGUUUUCAUUACCAAGCAACGGUGCAAGAAGCCAACAGUAUCAUUUGAGGAUUAUCAUGCUCUCUUCUGAAGCCGAGAGUAUUGCAAGUCUGUAUAAAACUGAGUACUCCUACGUCAUCUGAACUCCUGCUGCUGCUCUACAAACUCGACAGCAGUUGAGCAACAAGAUCAAAACCACUACCCUUCAGAGCAUUUAAAGUCUUCCAUCCUUCUCAGACAUAUGCCAACCAGUGAAGGAAGAUGAAGCAUGAAUAUAAGCAAGAUGUACAUGCAAUGGCACACCUGAUUUUCAUGUGCUGUGGAGAAAUUAUGUGCUGAAUGGUUGGACUUACUUAAAAUGGUUCAAAAUCCUGAAGAAUUCUGACUACAAGAACAGUUCUGCCUUUUCCCAGAAGCAAUACAGCCUCGCUGGUCAAUGUUCAACAGAUACUGCAUGUUGUGGGAUCCAGCUUACUGUUAAGAACUAUGUGCUGAGUUGUCAACGUUUGGACAGCACUGGGCUACACACAGAUUUUCAUGAAGGCUGAUCUUUUCCAGGUUCAACAGUUCCAGGUCUCUCAGCCUUUUACUCUGAUGCCUUUGGUAGAAUGACAGGGCAGAGACUAGUCAAGGAUGUUCCUUACAUGCUGGUUAAACAUUACUAUUCCAACAAGAGAAAAGCUGAUCUGAAAUCUCAUUGGUGUCAGUUACUGGAGGAUGCUGUCUAGAAGGAAAGCACCCUAUAGUCUCCCUUCCAUUUUUUCUCAUCUGUUACUGCCCAUGACAAACAGAUUCAUUCUAAGUGGAAAUUUCAAGCCCAGUGAUACUGUCCCUUUCCUCAUCAGUCAACAGAGAGAUGCGUACACUGCAGAAUGGACAUGUGCCUCCCCAGAGCUACAGCCAAACCUACCGUGAUUUUGAGGACCAUCAGCAAAGGUCAGAGCAUCACUCUGCCAAGCCAUAAUGCAUCUAUCAACAUAAAGUCAAAGUCUGUCCCCAGGACUGCUAUGUGAAUAACACUGGAACUUUAAACUGUGCAGUUCACACCCUGUAUACAUACAAGAAAUUGAAGAAAUUCACAAUAAUUAACCUUAUUUGCAUUGUUCCAGCAGAAGGGAUGGGAAAGUGUUUCCAAAAGCAUUUGCAAAAAAUGUUCAUAGAGGUGCCUUCUGCAAUGCGAGGCUCUCCAUGGAAGAGCCCACAGAAGUAUAGUUAGUGCUUUUAAGUCAGCCCUGCACUGAGUAGAUUAUCUAAGAGAGAAGAAAAUGACACAGUGAAAGAACCUUGUUAAAAAUAUAGAUUAAAUUGACGAAGCCCAAAAGUUCUAAGUAAAUAUCUGUUUUUUGUUAAAAAUAAAAAAAAAAAUUAAAAAAAAAAAAAAAAGGAAAGAAAGAAUGUCAUUAUCAAUUCUGAAACAGCUGUUGUUCAGACACAGACGCAGUUCCCAUCAUUACACCGUAGAGAUACAGUUUCCUUAUCCCUCAUGUCUCCCUGCUCUUCUUGGCUGGGGAACGUGCUCAGGAUUUGUUGAGAAAGAAGUAUAUAUGAAUUCAGUCAUUCUUGUAUCUUGCUCACCUUGUAGAUAUAGGUGUAGACAUAUAACAAGAACAGUGGAAUAAGGCCAGAGUAUCCUGACUGUUGAUAAGGAUGGAUAAGAAGCAGAAAAUAGCAUUCGUGUUUAAAUCAAAAGAUAUCUAGCAGGUAUGAUGUCAGGACAAGCAGGCCUAUUGGUGUCCCUUUAAAGUACAGGAGAAGAGGAAUAGCUAAACUUAGUGUAUAUUUUUAUAAUCAGCUUUUUUUGUGAUCCUGAAAACUCACAUAUUUACUUCUCACUACAUGUGCUUCCAUCAAACUUCAAAGUAUGGACAACUCAGUUCAAAAUUGCAUUAUACCUCUUAGUUGGCUGUUGGCUAUAUAUACUGCGGAAGGACUGAACAAAAGAAUCAUGUAACUUGUCUUCUGGUAGUAACAGAAAUAUUAGUGGCAUAGACCAAGCUGUUGAUUUGUUACAUUUCAGGCCUCAGGUAAUAAUUUCACAGCUCUGCUGCAGGGUAGAACUAAAAGUACAUUGUUUUCUGACAAAAUGUAAUCAGAAUUGGUGACUAUCCAGAUUUCUAUGUAAGCAUUUGGUGUGAUGCUGUGUGUUUGUGUGUGUAUGCAUAUAUCUAUGUUUAUCUGUAUCUUGUCUUAACUGAUAUAAUGUAGACAGCACAAUGCAUUUUCCUCCAAAGACCUAUAAACUGAGCUCUAUUGAAUAGCUUAUGAUCCCAGAACCAUCUUUUCUGUUUAAUGGUGUAAUGUAUCUUCUGUAGACACGAAAAUCUGGAAAAUCACAUUAAUGCUAGGUUUAAUUAGAGUAAUGAUCAAAUUUGGAGGUUAGGCUUGAAAAAUACGUAUCCAGAUUGUCAAAAUUUCUUCAUCAAAGGUUCCUAUUGGAUGCCUGUGCUCGCUAACUUACUGUCUUCGGAGGUCUAUCAAAUUUGGACUAGACCUAGUUUGAUGGUUAAAACUGACUGUAAUAUUGACAAGUUUUUGGUAUGACAUGAAAAGUAUUGAAGUUUAUUGUUCUACAGACUUCUUUCUAGGCUUUAGCUGAGACACAUAUAGGAAUUAUUUUCUUUCUUUAGACAUCUUCACAAAACGUGCAGUAAUAAAAUUUUGUCUUAAACACCUCUACUUUUCUUUGAAUCUGUGUAGAAAUUUGAAUUAUUAGGAACAAGAGAUGAAAAGGGAUAGAAAACAUAGCCAUAAGUUUCCUUCCCCAAGAAAAUAGGUUUAAAGUGUUUGCUAACAGUUGCUAAGACAAACAAUUAUAAAAAAAAAAUAGUUUAUUGCCAUUUCUUGCCUGAGAACCAAAAAGCCAAUUAAUAUUUAAGCAGUCACUUUCCAUCUGCCUAGUCCUGAUUUGUCCAUCUGUCAGCAGUGAUCUCCAUCAAAGCUUACCAGGAGGAUGAGCAUCUCUCAGCAGACUCUCCAAGACUGAAGGAAGCCUAUUUCACUAGCAUGGAUAGCACUGUUGUAGCUUUUGUCUUCAGUGCCCAUUGCGCUCUUGGACAGGGUAACAUAAACGAAUAUGCUUCCUCUCACUAGUGAGUGGAGAGCAGCUGCUGAUAAGGGGAAUCAUACAGUGGGAAGGGAAUGAGAUUUUAAGUAAUCUGGGCAAUGACAGCCCUGAGGGUUCUGCAGCUUGUAAGCAGCAUGGACACUCUCUGACCUUGCUUUCUUUGCCUCAUUUCACCUGAUAAAUGAGUGUGGUGCACUGGGAGUUCGGGUCUACCCGCCCACAGCAGUGCAAAUCACUUCACUGAAGGGAUAAUUGAGUAUGUGAGAGGCUCUGCUCAGAGAACUUUCACAUGAUUGCAGUUGCAAAGGGUAACCACUUCCUCAGCCUGUCUGACUGAAAGGUGAGUCAAACAGAGAUCAGUACAGGCACUAACAGAGUAACUAGAGAUGAAAGGAGAAAACCCCACAGCUCAUAAUGAGUGAGGAGACCCACAGCUCUGGUGCACUGACCAAGUGUGUGGUCACUCCAAGUUAGCAUGAUGUGAGUGCAAAUGGACAUGGGUCCCAUUUCUUUGUCCAGAAUAUCACAGGCAGAAAUACGCAUCUCACUGAACCUCCUGCCUGUGCACUGUACAGAUGGCCAGCACAUGUGUGGUAUGUCAG
ensembl:lncRNA